UUGAAGGCCGUACAAUGACCUAUAGUUGUUAACUUCUAUGUCAUUUGUUCUCUGGUGGAGAGUAGUCUGAUUUGCAAUUAUACUACAUCUUUUUAUCUUAAGUUAUAUUUCCCAAUGAAACAAAUUCUAUUCAUAUCGAUCAAAGCUUAAGAUUUAUUAGAUUUUUUCAGGUUUUUUUUUAUUUUGAAGAGAACAUUACAUUUUGGAAACCUUAAGUGAAAAUAUCUUGGCGAUAUUUUCAUUUUGAGUUCUGUGUUCAUUCAUUUCUUAAUGUAUCAAUUAACUGCAUGGGCUGUGUGAAACAAUUAGUCAUUUGACAGUUCACAUGAAGUGAUUUUAAUUUUUUGCACGAGUAAAUUCUAUAGUUUUGCGAUAUUAUUUCUGUGUUUAUGAGGCAGCGAACCGAGUAACGUACUCAUGUCAUCUCGAAAGAAUAGCUACAUGUGUAUUCAUACAAACCUGAUCAACUGAUCUGAAAUAUCCUGACAGAUGUUUUGUAUAUUAACAACAAGUCAUUCGAUAACCUGAUGUGUGACAGUUUUAAAAGGACAAUUAGGAUGACUUAAGACAAUGUCUGACUGCUGUAAACAACAUAUUAAGUGUAUUGGGUUUGUAUUGGUACUGGUUUUAUUUAUUGGUUUGAUAAUUGGCAUGUCCAAUGUGCUUCACAACAAGAAAGACGUUAAAGAACGUAAACCAGUAUUCCAACAACAACGUCAGGCGUCUUCGACAUCGUUCCUUGGCAGUAUCGUUGGUCAACCACCAAAAUGUCGACUCAAAUGGACAAAUACCAGCACUAACUCCUUUAUAAAAUACGAUCAACAGAUGGAUAGAUUUAUUGUGAGAGAAAGUGGCAUUCUACUUUUUUGGCUGUCAUUACAAAUUGAUUACAAGAACAUGGGAAAAGACACGAUUUAUUCUGCGUGUGUUGAAUACAGCAAUGAUAAUUAUAAAUGCACGGCCACAAUUUUUAAGAACUUGGAUGCUGGAACUCUUCAAGUAAAAGAUAAACUUUUUGUACUUCCGGGAUUUUAUUUUACAGUUAACGUUGAUUACACGUUUUUAAUAAAUAGAACUGAAAGCUCAAAUAUCUUAGUGAUAGAAAAAUCCUUCAACGGUGGAUUGGGGAUCCAAAGCAAUUAUACUACAAAGUAUCAUUAAUUAUCAGAAAUCAUAAGUUUUGGUUUAAAAACGCACAAAUACUAACAUGAUAUUAUAUUUCCUAUUUUAAUGCACGUAGAUCACUUUUUACCUGUCUAAAUUAAUUAAUUUCAUAUUUUUGGUAUAUUUUCUGCAUUAGGUAAAUUUGUGCUGUGGCGUCUGUUUUUUUUUUAUAGAAUAUUGCAAAUUAAAAUAAAAAAGAAAGGUAAUAUAUUUCAUGGCAAAAUCAGUACCUUAUGCUUGCCGAUUGUUGUAACUGCAGUUAAGUCAAUCCUUUCUCUUUAAAGACCCAUAGAUAAGGUCGUUCUUCAAUAAGAAUUUCAACAUACAUUUUACUUUUUGGCUCGGAAAGACUACCUGUCCAUCAAUACACAUUUCUUUAUAUAAUAUAAAGCGAUGCAAAGCUUCAUUUAAUAUCUCACAACUACAAUCUACAACCUAUAAUCACACCUCCCUUCUGAAGAAAUAUUUCUAUAAAAGUGUAAUAUUUCUCCACCUUUUUUUUUUCUUCCCAAGAACUAGCUUUUUAUGUAUAUAUAACAACAUAUAUGAAAUCAAGUAAUGAUUUUCGCUAAGUUUAUUGUAAUUACUUUUUGUCUGCCUAUCAGCGUGUAUAUAAAGUGUUUAACUGUAUUACAUUUUAAUUUAUGGAAAUGGAUGUAUAUAGGAGUACUGUUCGUGUUUUAUUAUACAAUUUUUAAAAUACUUGUACACUUCAUUCUUCUAUUAUUUGUACAUGAUGAGUUUAAUAACAAAAUAUUUUUACACAU